AUUAUGUCUAAACUGUGGCAAAUGGCAGUGAUGCACAAAAAAAUUUAGAAUUUCCAUAUUGGAGGGAAGCAUCAGUGUCACUGCACCAAAUACCCCCCACGAUGUUGGACGCUUCCUUCCUGAGAGGUCCUCGGUGUACCCGCCAUCUGCUCAUAGCUUGUGACCUGACUUUGCUCUUUUGCCGCCUGCCUCCUGACCUUGUGCCUGUGACCUGACCUUGCUCCUUUGCCGCCUGCCUCCUGACCUUGUGCCUGUGACCCGACUAUGCUUCUUUGCUGCCUGCCUCCUGAUCUGUGCUACGUCUGACUUUGCUUCAUUCUCUGUGCCAAGUUACAUCUGGGCAACCUGUGUGGAUGGAUCGUGCCAGGGUAGCGACCUGGGUGCCGCCUGCUGCAGCAAGUCCAUCCCUCUUUGCGGCGGGUUCUGGUGAAUACCAGCGGCACCUUAGACUCCGCUCCCUGGUGCGGUUCGGCCAUUGUCCACACAGGACAGCGGAUCCACUUCCCAGCCGUUUACGUCGCAGAGAAGCCGGUUUCAUCGCCUGAAGACAUCAGCAGCAUGCAGAUCAUGGAGAGUUACCUGUGUAUUGUUUCCUAAGAUGUCUGGAAUCCACUCAUGAUGUUUACUUCACCUUACUGGAACUGCAAAUAACCUGUGACUCAUUCACGUUACAUUCGGGUAAAGCAAU